AGUCUCGCUCCUCGGUCAGACAGACCGGCGGCCGCUGGGACCUGCUCCCUCAUAAGGGCUGGGGCGGGGAGCCGCGAAUGGCCGGAUAAAUACGGGGGAGGAGAAGGGCGUCGCUCCCUCUCCCCACCUCCUUCCACCUCCACCCUCCCCCCCGCAGCGGAGGGCGCGCUCGGCACUGCCUCUGUCUGUCCGGGCUCCCGGGGCGUCUCCGCGCCCUUCCGCGGCGCGCAGGCUGGGCGCGGGAGGCUGCUGCUGCCGCCGAAGGUGAAGCUCUCGCUCUCCAGCUACUUUUCCCAAGAGAGAGAAGGAGGCAGCAGGAGGGGGAAGUCGUGCUGUGUGUGGAAGGCACACCAAUCAGAGAUGCUCUAACGGAGGGACUGCUGCAGGACGCGCUGGCUUCUCCUUCCUCUGCCGGCGGGGCUGAAUCGGGACCGCGCGCAGUUGGCGUAGGGGCCGGAGCCGUACUAGGCUGCAGGACUUCCCUAUCUCCGCUUUUCCAAUAGCUCAGCCAUACUUCGUGGGUUUUUCGUUUUUUUUUUUCUUUUUUUCCCUUUCAAUUUAUUUUAUUUUAUUUUAUUUUUUUUAAUUACUCUGAAAUCGUUCACAAGAAACACUUCAAGUCUUCUCUCCAUUCCCAGUUACUUCACCCUUCCUCUAGCAUCUCUUAGCCGGAUUCCUGGUGUAUUCCCAAAGAGGCGGGGGGAGAGAGCCGGGCCCCGCGGACGGCUGCUGCCCCAGCCCGGCCGAGCCGAGGGGAGCCGAGCGGAGCGCGGCACGGAGCCGCUCCAUGCCCCCGAGCGCUGGCGGGGCGCGGGGCGUGUGCCGGCGAUGCCCGGGCGGUAAGGCUGGAGCUCCCCCCGGACGGGAGGCGGCCGAUCGCUAGGCAUUUCUAGCAAGAAUCGGGACUGCAGGAUGAAUAAGAGAUACUUACAGAAAGCAACAAAAGGAAAACUGCUAAUAAUAAUAUUUGUUGUAACACUGUGGGGGAAAUUAGCAUCUGGGGCAAAUCAUCAUAAAGCUCACCAUGUUAAAACUGGGACCUGUGAAGUGGUGGCGCUUCACAGAUGCUGCAAUAAGAAUAAGAUAGAAGAAAGAUCACAGACAGUGAAGUGUUCCUGCUUCCCUGGGCAGGUAGCAGGUACCACCCGGGCAGCUCCUUCUUGUGUUGAUGCUUCUAUAGUGGAGCAGAAAUGGUGGUGCCACAUGCAACCGUGUCUUGAAGGGGAGGAAUGUAAAGUUCUUCCAGAUCGUAAGGGAUGGAGCUGUUCCUCUGGGAAUAAAGUGAAAACAACUAGGGCAAACGUGUAAAACUCCUCAAGUCCGAAUGGAGAAGUAGAGAAAGGAGGUUUCUGCGUGCCUGAUGACAAUUUUUGUUUUUUCCACACACAAAAAAUAUUCUGGCUCCACGAUGGAGCACUAGUUGUGAUGAAUCCUAGUCUUGGUCGGAGUCUAAGGAAGGGCCAGAACAUUCGUUGUGGAAUAACGAGUCAAACCACUCCAGAAAAUAUGUUCCAGCCCCGGUUUAUUACUCACAGAGCAGCAGGUAACCCGAUAGCUGAAGACAAAUCAAACCAGUCUCAAGGCUGAUAACAUUAAAUACAACACAUAAGAAUUUCAUUCCUCCAGGCAAUCCUUGAAGUGAAAUUUUGUAUGGCUGGGGUGUAUCCUUCAGAAUCAAUUGUUUCAAUGAGAACCUGGCUUGUAAUCAGCAACAGCCUUGAGACCAAAACUACUGGAAAAUGUCACAAAUAUUUCAACUGAUUGAACUGUGUACACUUGUAAAAUUGCACUUGCUGAGGAAUUUGCAGCUGUAAUCACAAGCUAAUAUUCUAAAGAUGCAGAAAAGCGGCAAACUUUUGGGUUCUUCAUUGCAGAUCAGUGGCUUUUCAUUUUGAAGAAGUCAACCUCUGAAAUGUAUUGGAUCCUUCAUUCUAAAAUGAUCCUUGGUCCACUAUUCAGAUUGUUGGUGGGACUGCGCACUGCUUUAAUUAAAUUUCUGUUGCAGAAAUUGUCCUCUGGCAUGGCGCAGUUUUAGACAUUUUUAUUUGUGUUCUAAUCUUGCAGCUCUCAAAGGUACAUAUUUCAACAUCUUGAAGUUGCUUUGUUAUAGGAAUGGAAUUAUAUAUCCAUUGUUAAUAAUUAUUGUUGACAAGUGAUAGUUAUCUGAAUACAUCAGUCAUAUUAGAAUGUAUAGUCAGGUUGACAUGUUUACCUAAGGCUAACCAACUACUGCAACUUAACAGUUAAAGAAAGUAGUGGUCAAAACUCAAUUACCACUUCCAUUAUAAGGAAUUUUAUAUCUUUAAUAUAUACAUUUCCAUUUAGUUUGAAGGAAAUGGGUGUUCCCAAUAUGUACUUUACUUUCCUAAUCUUUAAUUCAUUUAAAUUGAUGGUAACCAGUCAAUUAUAUUAUUUCAUCCCUUUUUUAUAAAGAUAGGCAGGGAUGUAAAUGAGUUUUGCAAUUAUGAUAUUGGAUGGUAAUCAUUCAUAAAUUUUGUCUUUUUAUUAAAAAAUAAAAUCUCUUGCUUGAACUUAAGUACUGAUGGAUGCUUGUAUAGAUGUCUGCUCAGUCUGCUUGCCAGAAAGGAAAAAAGUCCUAGUGCUCUCCCAGUUUUACACUCCAUGGGUAUUUUGCUUGCUUACAGUCAUCCUAUUCAGACCUGUUUUGUUUUGUUAGAAAUUCUUGAACUUUGUGAUGUGUUUUUACAUGAAAAAGAUCCUCGAUAUUUAAAAGCCUUAAGCAUCUUUGACCUUUUUUGUAAGUUAUUACAGAAUGUAUAAUUUUAUACUCCAUUUAGUGUAUAUUGUACCAUCUCUAAUGUUGAUACAAAAGAAAUUUGGCAAUUCAUUGUAGUGAUACUGCAUAAACAUACUGAUUAGAGGAAUUUCUGACUGUGUACUUUGGUGAAUUGAAUUGAAAGCCACACACACUUAAUUGGUAGUUAAAAAUACAUAGAGGUAAGCCUGUUUAAGUCCUGAGUGUUUACCACACACAGCAAACAAACAACAAAAAAGGAAAAAAAAAAGAAAAAAAAAAAAAAAGAAAACAAUGAAUAGAAGGAAAUGGUUUAAUCAUUACAAGCUGUUGACAUGGCUAGUUAUAUAUUAAGUUCCAUGAUGGAUGAACACCCUGGCGUGCUCUACCUGUCACUGUAGCCCCUGCUGUUCCAAAACCAUUUCAUUACUUCUGCUGUAUUACUACACAGGAGAGCUUAAAUAAAAUAAAUGACUGUUAGGAACAAAGCUGAGAGGAAUAUUCUAUCAUUCUGCUGGGAAAUAAUAAAAAAUAUGUUAACAGAUAAAGAUCUUAUUUUCUGAUUAAAAUUUAAUUAGGAUAAACCAUUUGUAGCAGAAAGUAGGUCUCUUGGUAUUUUAGGAUGGAUUAGUAUUAUAUGGAUUUGUGCUAAGAGGUACAGGACAGAAGGUAGCAUCUUAAAGAGGUUGUCUGGGACAGUGGAAAGUGUAAAUGUGCUGUUUUGUAAAAUCUGAAUAUGACCUCUCUUUGGUCAAAAAUCUAUAUCAUGCUUCUCAAUACUGUUUUUGUUUUUGGUUUUUUUUUUGGUUUUUUUGUUUCCUUGUUGUUAAACAGCACUGAAAAUACUGCAUUAUAUACAAGUGUAACACAUGCAUACCAAUAAAUGAAAAUAAAUGGAUUUUCAAAUAUACUGAA